rnacentral:rRNA from 1 species
CCUACGGGUGGCAGCAGUGAGGAAUAUUGGUCAAUGGUCGGGAGACUGAACCAGCCAAGCCGCGUGAGGGAUGAAGGUACAGAGUAUCGUAAACCUCUUUUGUCAGGGAACAAAGGCGGGGACGUGUCCCCGGAUGAGUGUACCCGAAGAAAAAGCAUCGGCUAACUCCGUGCCAGCAGCCGCGGUAAUACGGAGGAUGCGAGCGUUAUCCGGAUUUAUUGGGUUUAAAGGGUGCGCAGACGGUCUGUUAAGUCAGUGGUAAAAGCCCGGGGCUCAACCCCGGCCCGCCGUUGAUACUGGCAGUCUCGAGUUGGAGAGAAGUAUGCGGAAUGCGCGGUGUAGCGGUGAAAUGCAUAGAUAUCGCGCAGAACUCCGAUUGCGAAGGCAGCAUGCCGGCUCCACACUGACGCUGAGGCACGAAAGCGUGGGUAUCGAACAGGAUUAGAUACCCCAGUAGUC